rnacentral:rRNA from 1 species
GGGCGUUAAAGGGCUCCGCAGGCGGUUUCUUAAGUCUGAUGUGAAAGCCCCCGGCUCAACCGGGGAGGGUCAUUGGAAACUGGGGAACUUGAGUGCAGAAGAGGAGAGUGGAAUUCCACGUGUAGCGGUGAAAUGCGUAGAGAUGUGGAGGAACACCAGUGGCGAAGGCGACUCUCUGGUCUGUAACUGACGCUGAGGAGCGAAAGCGUGGGGAGCGAACAGGAUUAGAUACCCUGGUAGUCCACGCCGUAAACGAUGAGUGCUAAGUGUUAGGGGGUUUCCGCCCCUUACUGCUGCAGCUAACGCAUUAAGCACUCCGCCUGGGGAGUACGGUCGCAAGACUGAAACUCAAAGGAAUUGACGGGGGCCCGCA